rnacentral:rRNA from 1 species
UGGUAGUCCACGCCGUAAACGAUGAGUGCUAAGUGUUAGAGGGUUUCCGCCCUUUAGUGCUGCAGCUAACGCAUUAAGCACUCCGCCUGGGGAGUACGGUCGCAAGACUGAAACUCAAAGGAAUUGACGGGGGCCCGCACAAGCGGUGGAGCAUGUGGUUUAAUUCGAAGCAACGCGAAGAACCUUACCAGGUCUUGACAUCCUCUGACAACUCUAGAGAUAGAGCGUUCCCCUUCGGGGGACAGAGUGACAGGUGGUGCAUGGUUGUCGUCAGCUCGUGUCGUGAGAUGUUGGGUUAAGUCCCGCAACGAGCGCAACCCUUGAUCUUAGUUGCCAGCAUUUAGUUGGGCACUCUAAGGUGACUGCCGGUGACAAACCGGAGGAAGGUGGGGAUGACGUCAAAUCAUCAUGCCCCUUAUGACCUGGGCUACACACGUGCUACAAUGGAUGGUACAAAGGGCUGCAAGACCGCGAGGUCAAGCCAAUCCCAUAAAACCAUUCUCAGUUCGGAUUGUAGGCUGCAACUCGCCUACAUGAAGCUGGAAUCGCUA